rnacentral:rRNA from 1 species
CAUGCGCUGCUUUAACAUGCAGUCGAACGGUAACAGGUCUUCGGAUGCUGACGAGUGGCGAACGGGUGAGUAAUACAUCGGAACGUGCCUAGUAGUGGGGGAUAACUACUCGAAAGAGUAGCUAAUACCGCAUGAGAUCUACGGAUGAAAGCAGGGGACCUUCGGGCCUUGUGCUACUAGAGCGGCUGAUGGCAGAUUAGGUAGUUGGUGGGGUAAAGGCUUACCAAGCCUGCGAUCUGUAGCUGGUCUGAGAGGACGACCAGCCACACUGGGACUGAGACACGGCCCAGACUCCUACGGGAGGCAGCAGUGGGGAAUUUUGGACAAUGGGCGAAAGCCUGAUCCAGCAAUGCCGCGUGCAGGAUGAAGGCCCUCGGGUUGUAAACUGCUUUUGUACGGAACGAAAAGCCUGGGGCUAAUAUCCCCGGGUCAUGACGGUACCGUAAGAAUAAGCACCGGCUAACUACGUGCCAGCAGCCGCGGUAAUACGUAGGGUGCAAGCGUUAAUCGGAAUUACUGGGCGUAAAGCGUGCGCAGGCGGUUUUGUAAGACAGUGGUGAAAUCCCCGGGCUCAACCUGGGAACUGCCAUUGUGACUGCAAGGCUAGAGUGCGGCAGAGGGGGAUGGAAUUCCGCGUGUAGCAGUGAAAUGCGUAGAUAUGCGGAGGAACACCGAUGGCGAAGGCAAUCCCCUGGGCCUGCACUGACGCUCAUGCACGAAAGCGUGGGGAGCAAACAGGAUUAGAUACCCUGGUAGUCCACGCCCUAAACGAUGUCAACUGGUUGUUGGGUCUUAACUGACUCAGUACGAAGCUAACGCG